ensembl:lincRNA
AUGCCUCGGGUACGUCCUGUUCCCAGCUCCUUCUCCAGCACCCGCAGCCCCUCGGCUGACAUUUCAGAAACACAGCCCAAGCUGAAAUGGGCAGCCUGCCCAUGGAAGAGAUGGGGCAGAGGGAGACUGUGGCCUGUUCACACAGUUUGGUGGAAAGUGAAGACUGAAGGGGCUUGGGAUUCUGAGAGUUGGAAGAGGCCAACUUUUCCCACCUGCAGUUUGAAGAUUAAGGACUUAGAGAUUUGUUGAGAGGCUGCUUCCGAGAGGUUACUGAUACACUGAGGACAGGAACUACUGACUACUCUGAAUGAGGAAAAAAACAUCCAGUUUGGGGUGAUCCUGUUUUGCAAUGGCAGCUGUCAGCCAUAACAUGGUGGGAAAUAACGGUAAAUAAACCUCCUGUGAUUGGCAAGAAUAUAAAAAAAAAUCGUGAAUUGUGAAUUCUUAGGUCUACUUGAGAGAAGACAUAUUUAGAAAAACAUCAAAUCAUUAAACAACCUGCUUUUGAAUAAAAUCUAAAUGAACCAAACUCUUUAGCAAAUGUCCAUUUUGAAAAUUUAGCUUUUUGGUUAACUGUAUAAGUUAUAUUAGCUUCCUAUUCUGCUGUCACAAAUCACCACAAAGUGAGUGCCUUAAAAGAACACGAAUUUACUAUCUUAUAGUCUGAAGGUCAGAAGUCCAGAAUGGAUCUUACAGGGCUAAAAUCAAGGUGCUAGCAGGGCUGGUUUCUUCCGGAAACUCUAGAAGAUAAUCUGUUUCGUGCUUUGUCACACUUCCAAAGGCUACUGGCCUUGGUUUGUGGCCCCACCACGCCCACCUUUGCUUC